rfam:TPA: Bos taurus chromosome 3, whole genome shotgun sequence.
UGGCUCAGAUGGUAAAGCAUCUGCCUAUAAUGCAGGAGACCCAGGUUCGAUCCCUGG